UACGAAGGGGGCUAGCGUUGUUCGGAAUCACUGGGCGUAAAGCGCUCGUAGGCGGAUCUUUGAGUCAGGGGUGAAAUCCCGAGGCUCAACCUCGGAACUGCCUUUGAUACUGGGGAUCUCGAGUCCGGGAGAGGUGAGUGGAACUGCGAGUGUAGAGGUGAAAUUCGUAGAUAUUCGCAGGAACACCAGUGGCGAAGGCGGCUUACUGGUCCGAUACGUGACGCUGAGGUGCGAAAGCGUGGGGAGCAAACAGG
rnacentral:rRNA from 1 species